UUCUAAUCCCUAUUCUGGGUUGCUAAAUAAGUGUAAGUAAAUAAAUGUCCUCUGGACUUCUGGGGUGCUACAUCCCUGGACUUUCUAAGUUUGCUCUAAAUUUGUAAAAGUAAUGAGUACUCCACAGUUUCUAAGUAAUAAUAAAAAUGAAAUGUUCUUGUUCUGGAAGAUUUUUUUCUGGAUUCUAAGUUUGUUCUAAUUCCUUUGUGUUGUUGCUACAAAAAUUUUGUCCGGACCUUGAUCCUGACACUCUGCUUGGCUAUCUGAUUGAGAAACUGUGCCAACUGAUGAAAUGGAGGAAGAUGCACUCAAUGCUUAACCGAUUUAGUUUGUUUCAUAUAACUUCAGAGUGCAAUUAAGUUGCAGAAAUGUACAAACCAAUACUCUGGUCAUCGGGUGUGUAUGUGUGUCGCUACUUUGAGGUGACCUUAUGAAUGUCCUCAAAAUGAAGACGAGUUUCUUAACCAGCUACAACUGAUGGUGUCAUUGAGGUUAAAGAAAUGACUCAUGACAGGACCACUACAGUGCACUGUUUAACUGUGCCAAAAGUAACGCUUUUGUAGUGAAUGGCAUACAUAGUAAUGAGAAAGUGAAUGGAUGCCCACAAGCAAUACAUAAUGCACAGAAAGACACAGAAAGAAAACAAAGCCUGCAGGAAGGAUAACAUUCCUACUGAGCAUGAAUGCAAGAAAUUCUGUCCGUUACUUUCUAUGUGUUUUACUGGCUGUCUAUUACAUGGUUUGCUACCUAAUUUAAUGUUAUCUAUCAUACUGGUACCCAUUAUUAAGGACAAAACCGCUAAGGUUAUCUCUUUGGACAAUUACCUUAGCUAGUAGUCUGUCAAAAGGUUUUUCUAAAAGAAUACCAAUAAACAGGCUAGAAGAGUUUGUCCUGACCUCUGAUAGUCAAUUUGGUUUUAUUAAAAAUGACACGGACUGUCAUGAUUCAUGUUCUGUCCUGUCCAUGCUGUGUUUAAACACUCAUUCAGCUCACCUGUCACGCCUGAUUGCUUACCUGUUCCACCUGGUCCCUGCCCUACUUAAACUCCUCUCAGCCUCUGCCUCCUUGCCAGAUUAUCAACAGCCACUAGCCAGUAGCGAUCCAGCGUUUUCUUCCAAGCCUCCAGUGUUUCUACAACCCUUUUCUGUCCAUGGAUUGACACCCUCUGCCAAGCCCUUCACGGAUCCCUUCUGUUCUGGAUUUCUGGACCCUGACCCAAGCUUUGCCUCACGACCACUGAAUAUUGCCUGCCCCUCAAGCUAAGUUUGCUCUCUCUGUCCUCCUGUGUAUGACCUCUGCCUGAUUAUCGUCAAAGUCCCUCGGUGUUGCCUCUUGGAUCUCCUUGUGGAGAUCUUUGUUGCUUCCGCAGUAGCCUGUUCUACCUGGUUACCUGCACCUCCCUGUCGUCAGACCCUUGGUUUUUCAGCUCCACCCGUCCACUGCUCUACAGUGCUGUGUUUGACGACCUCAUCCUGAGCAGCAACCAGAGUCUGUAAAUUUAAUUAAACUUGUUUUUUCCUUUGCGAA